AUAUAAACUAAAGAAGCAAAUGAAAGGAAAUAGAAACAGAAUGAAACGAAACAGAGAGCAGGGGAGAAAAAGAAAGAAAGAAGGAGAGAAAAGGGAAAAUUGAAGGUUUGAAGCUUUAAGCUUUAAUAGGUUAAGUAAAGAUAGUACGUUGAAUCAGCAUCCCAAGACGAUCCCGAAUUCAUUAAGGUAAAGUAUGUUGAGUAUUGAUAAUGGCAUGUACCCAGGAUGUUUAAUGAGAGUCAUUUAGGUUAUAAAAGUAUUGAUGAAAUGAGUAAAUUAUGGUUGGCAACGGUAUGUAGUAUGAAUUUUGAAAUUUACUAAAAAUUCGUAGUGAUUCUAAAUUAGUCCCGAAUUAAAUUUACUGUUCAUAUUGGACCGCGAGGGCCCAUUAAAGGGACGACAUCUUAAAACUAGGAUGUGUGUGAAUAUUUAUUUUAAUUAAUGACUGAAA